rnacentral:rRNA from 1 species
UAUUGCACAAUGGGGGAAACCCUGAUGCAGCGACGCCGCGUGAGGGAAGACGGUUUUCGGAUUGUAAACCUCUGUCUUUGGGGACGAAUUGAGACGGUACCCAAGGAGGAAGCCACGGCUAACUACGUGCCAGCAGCCGCGGUAAUACGUAGGUGGCAAGCGUUGUCCGGAAUUACUGGGUGUAAAGGGAGCGUAGGCGGUUAUGCAAGUUGAAUGUGAAAUCUAUCGGCUCAACUGAUAGGCUGCGUUCAAAACUGUAUAUCUUGAGUGAAGUAGAGGCAGGCGGAAUUCCUAGUGUAGCGGUGAAAUGCGUAAAUAUUAGGAGGAACACCAGUGGCGAAGGCGGCCUGCUGGGCUUUAACUGACGCUGAGGCACGAAAGCGUGGGUAGCAA